GAGACAUAGGAGAUGUGGAUUCGAUCCCUGGGUUGGGAAGACUCCCUGGAGGAGGGCAUGGAAACCCACUCCAGUAUUCUUGCCUGGAGAAUCCCAUGGACAGAGGAGCCUACAAUCCAUAGGACAAAGAGUUGGACCCAACUGAAAUGACUUGACAGGAAUGCAGGAUGUGGCAAUUCUCUUCCUGCAGAAUGUACCAUUACAGUGGAGAUUGCACUGUAGACCUCCUGUCUUACAGUAUGGAUAGAUUUAGGUGUCAACAAUCAAGUAAGAACAAGGAUACUUCCUUUCAGCUCCCAGUCAUUCCUCAGAAGGAGCAGAAGGAAUACUGACCAGAACCUCAUAAAUGAAGUUGUGUGAAAUGGACUCGAUGGGAGUAAGCCCUGUGUUUAAUCCUGCAAAGAAUCUCAGCCAGGCUUCAGCAAAAUGUGAACCGUCAAUGUCCAGAUGUUCAAGCUGGUUUUAGAAAAGGCAGAGGAACCAGAGAUCAAAUUGCCAACAUCUGCUGGAUCAUGGAAAAAGCAAGAGAGUUCCAGAAAAACAUCCAUUUCUGCUUUAUUGACCAUGCCAAAGCCUUGACUGCGUGGAUCACAAUAAACUGUGGGAAAUUCUGAAAGAGAUUGGAAUACCAG
ensembl:lncRNA